AGUGAACGCUGGCGGUAGGCCUAACACAUGCAAGUCGAACGGCAGCACAGUAAGAGCUUGCUCUUACGGGUGGCGAGUGGCGGACGGGUGAGGAAUAAAUCGGAAUCUACUUUUUCGUGGGGGAUAACGUAGGGAAACUUACGCUAAUACCGCAUACGACCUACGGGUGAAAGCAGGGGAUCUUCGGACCUUGCGCGAUUGAAUGAGCCGAUGUCGGAUUAGCUAGUUGGCGGGGUAAAGGCCCACCAAGGCGACGAUCCGUAGCUGGUCUGAGAGGAUGAGCAGCCACACUGGAACUGAGACACGGUCCAGGCUCCUACGGGAGGCAGCAGUGGGGAAUAUUGGACAAUGGGCGCAAGCCUGAUCCAGCCAUAACGCGUGAGUGAAGGAGGCCUUCGGGUUGUAAAGCCCUUUUGUUGGGAAAGAAAAGCAGCAGGUUAAUACCCCGCUGUUCUGACGGUACCCAAAGAAUAAGCACCGGCGAACUUCGU
rnacentral:rRNA from 1 species